rnacentral:rRNA from 1 species
UACAGAGGUCUCAAGCGUUGUUCGGAAUCACUGGGCUUAAAGCGCGUGUAGGCGGGCCGGCACGUCGGUCGCUGAAAUCCCCCGGCUCAACCGGGGAACGGGCGCCGAUACGACCGUCCUGGAGGGACGUAGGGGGACCUGGAACUUCCGGUGGAGCGGUGAAAUGCGUUGAGAUCGGAAGGAACGCCCGUGGCGAAAGCGAGGUCCUGGACGUUUUCUGACGCUGAGACGCGAAAGCCAGGGGAGCGAACGGG